CAACCUCCCACCCGUGUUUACUGUAACCUUAGUUGCUUCGGCGGGCCCGCCUUUAAGGCCGCCGGGGGGCAUCAGCCCCCGGGCCCGCGCCCGCCGGAGACACCACGAACUCUGUCUGAUCUAGUGAAGUCUGAGUUGAUUGUAUCGCAAUCAGUUAAAACUUUCAACAAUGGAUCUCUUGGUUCCGGCAUCGAUGAAGAACGCAGCGAAAUGCGAUAACUAGUGUGAAUUGCAGAAUUCCGUGAAUCAUCGAGUCUUUGAACGCACAUUGCGCCCCCUGGUAUUCCGGGGGGCAUGCCUGUCCGAGCGUCAUUGCUGCCCAUCAAGCACGGCUUGUGUGUUGGGUCGUCGUCCCCUCUUCGGGGGGGACGGGCCCCAAAGGCAGCGGCGGCACCGCGUCCGAUCCUCGAGCGUAUGGGGCUUUGUCACCCGCUCUGUAGGCCCGGCCGGCGCUUGCCGAACGCAAAACAACCAUUCUUUCCAGGUUGACCUCGGAUCAGGUAGGGAUACCCGCUGAACUUAAGCAUAUCAAUAGGCCGGGAGGGACAUUACCGAGUGUAGGGUUCCUAGCGAGCCC
rnacentral:rRNA from 1 species